rnacentral:rRNA from 1 species
UACGUAGGGCGCAAGCGUUAUCCGGAAUUAUUGGGCGUAAAGGGCUCGUAGGCGGCGUGUCGCGUCGGGAGUGAAAGCCCGUUGCUUAACGGCGGGUUGGCUUUCGGUACGGGCAUGCUGGAGUGCGGCAGGGGAGACUGGAAUUCCCGGUGUAGCGGUGAAAUGCGCAGAUAUCGGGAGGAACACCGGUGGCGAAGGCGGUUCUCUGGGCCUUACCUGACGCUGAGGAGCGAAAGCGUGGGGAGCGAACAGG